GAGCAAGUCCAUGUUGGAGAAAGGAUAAAUAUUCUCAAAGAUUCAAGCUAUGAAGACCAAAUCUACAGAAGAUAGCAACUCAUUCACAGGGAAUUGGAAAUCCUUGUCUUCGUGGUUCCUGGCUCAGCAGGACCCCUGUGGGGCCUCUCCCUCUCUUGGGAAAGAGAUUGCUCUAGAAGGUUUACUACACCAGUGAGGAGAAGAUGAGCGCAAGGGGGAUUGGCCGGCUGAGGGCGAAAUCAAGACUGGAGCCAAGUGCGCUGAGCUCUCACAUGAGGUCCUUUGCUCCUGUUCCCUGGAGGC
rnacentral:lncRNA from 1 species